ACGUUCGUGACCCACCUUGCGCCCCCCAGGGAGUGGCAGGACCCUCCCGUCCCCAGCCUCCGCGCCAGGCCUCGUCCCUGCAUGGGACAAGAGGCAGCCCUCCGCCAUUUCCCGCGGCCCUUGCCUCCCGGGAGCGGCUCCCCUCUGACGACUGAGUGGACUGCGCUUGAGGGGGCCGCCGCUGGGAACCAGCCCCUCCAGAAAGAGCCGUCUCUGCACCCGCUCCCACCCGUGGGAAGCACCAGAUGGGGCUGUCUCCCGAGACAAAGCCUAAAACCAAAUGUACCGGAAUUUUUGGAAACUGAAACACAACUUGUCCUAGAUAGGAAUGUCAGGAAGCCAGCGAGAGAAUGAAGAGUCUGCCGUCCGGGGACACAAUUUCUGUCCACUGUCCCUGCCCACGUCCCCUCACAGCCCUGCAAGGUGGGUGGGGACGGCUGAUGAUGCCAUUUUCAGAUGAGGAAACUGAGGCACAGAGAGGCUCCACAGCCAGGACUGGGCGCUCAUCCAGUUGACUCCAGGGCAGAUCCUCUCUUCCCAGGGCAGCCACCCCCGCCUUGUGAGAGCCGGUGCCCGGGGGAGGGGAAGGAUGGAGACCUGGGCAGUUCACCCAGGCCCAGGAGCCAGAGCCCUGGCAGGUUGUACGCAGCUGCUCCCAAGAGGCACCCCUUCCACCCCUGCACCAGCCCUGCCUCCACAGAGGCGCAAAGGAAGCAAAGGCACUGCUGGCGAAGAACCUUGGCAUUCCAGCCGCGCACAGACACCCAGAGAGGAAACCCGAGCACCCGGAACUGGACGGGGUGGCGGGCAGGGGCAGGGCGAGGGCCAUUGAGUUCAGCGAGACCCUGGCGGCCCUCAAGGAAGACAGGCAAAUCAGUGAAGAGCCCCUGUGCUGCAAGAGGGGGCCUGGGCUACCCAGGAGCGCCUAACCUGAAGUUGGGAAAGGAAGGCUUCCUGGAGGAGGAGGCGGCGGCUCAGAGAGGAGUGACUCGCCUGAAGCCCCGUGAACAAUGCAUGGUGGACGGAAGUACAUGGAAUGCCAGAGCCAGGCUGGUGACUAGUGCUGGUGGUGGGGACUGGUCAAGGCGGCCGCCAGGGAAGGGAUGUGAGGACACGGUCUAGACUGAUGGACCAGAUGGCGGGGGCAGGCACAGGGGGAGGGAGGUUUCCAGGACACCCCUCAGUUUCUGGCCCAGGUGACCAGGUGGAAGGUCAUUCCAUCUCCUGAGUGAGGGACACAGCAGGACAGACAGGCUUGGGGAGGGACUGUUGGGAUGUCUGGAGUCUAGGAGAGGAUCCAGGCGGGGGAUGGAGGGGAGGGCGGAAUGAGCUCAUGGGGCAAGUGGAAGGCUUGUGGGCGGUGGAAAAGCUCCAGCCCCCGGACACCUAGCCAAGGUCAAGUAAUAACGACAGUAGACGUUACAUAGCCUUGACUCUGUACAGACCUCAUCCUGCAUCCUUACGUUAACUCAUUGAACCCUCCCAACCAUUAUCAAAUUGGAGGUACCAUUAUCACCCCCAUUUUAUAGUUGGGGAAACUGAGGCAAGAGACAUUAAGUCUGCAAUAUUGGAAUAGGCAAAUCUGUAGAGAAAGGAAUGUGGGUGAGUGGUGGGCUGGGGCUGGGGGCUGGGAAGGAUCAUGGCUAACGGGCACAGGCUUUCUUUUUUGGGUGAUGAAAAUAUUCUAAAAUGACUGUGAAAAUAUUGCACAACUCUGUGAACAUGUGAAAACCCACUGAACUGUAUGCUCUAACUGUAUGAAUUGUAUGGUAUUUGAAUUUCACCUCAAU
rnacentral:lncRNA from 1 species